rnacentral:rRNA from 1 species
CGAGGUAGUAGCACGUAGUAGACCCCCAGAGUCGGGCAUAGCCAGCCGAAAGGUUGGGUAAUUCCCGAUAGUCCCGAAAGGGUAAAGGUUUUUCGCUCUGGGAGUUGCCUGCGUAGUAUCAGCUAGUUGGUAGGGUAAUGGCCUACCAAGGCUACGACGCUUAGGGGAGCUGAGAGGCUGACCCCCACCGAUGGAACUGCGACACGGUCCAUACUCCUACGGGAGGCUGCAGACGAGAAUAUUCCGCAAUGGGCGAAAGCCUGACGGAGCGACGCCGCGUGAUUGAUGAAGUGCUUCGGUACGUAAAGAUCUUUUAUCGGGGACGAGGUCUAUUGACGGUACCCGAUGAAUAAGGGGCUCCUAACUCUGUG